AUUUUGUAAGUAAUGACCCUUUUCAGUCCCUGAGUACUGCCUGCCCACUUUGCUGGAUGAAGCUCUGUGAACUCUUCCUGGUUCUUAGUACUGCCUAAUUCAUGAAUCCUUCUUUGCUCAAAUGAACUCAAAGUUAAUUUAAAGUUUUUAUUCUAACAUGAGACUCUUUCUCCCAUGAGACUUUGCAUGAGGGAGAACAGUCGCUAAUUAACAGCCAGUUCUUGAAAUCACGCAGUCCUGAAAUCCAGCUGAUGCUGCUCAGCAGAGAAGCAGAUGUUUGGAGGUUAAAACAAAGUCACAAGUCUGACCCACACUCAAAGGGAGAAGAUUAUGCAAGAGCAAAAGCACGAGAUGGAAACCAUGGGGCCAUCUUAUAGUCUGUCUGCCGGAGAAAGAUGAACACAAAUCCUCGUGCAGAAAAGUGUGACACUAAAAGAACC
rnacentral:lncRNA from 1 species